rnacentral:rRNA from 1 species
AUUGAACGCUGGCGGCAGGCCUAACACAUGCAAGUCGAGCGGAUGAAGGGAGCUUGCUCCUGGAUUCAGCGGCGGACGGGUGAGUAAUGCCUAGGAAUCUGCCUGGUAGUGGGGGAUAACGUCCGGUAACGGGCGCUAAUACCGCAUACGUCCUGAGGGAGAAAGUGGGGGAUCUUCGGACCUCACGCUAUCAGAUGAGCCUAGGUCGGAUUAGCUAGUUGGUGGGGUAAAGGCCUACCAAGGCGACGAUCCGUAACUGGUCUGAGAGGAUGAUCAGUCACACUGGAACUGAGACACGGUCCAGACUCCUACGGGAGGCAGCAGUGGGGAAUAUUGGACAAUGGGCGAAAGCCUGAUCCAGCCAUGCCGCGUGUGUGAAGGAGGUCUUCGGAUUGUAAAGCACUUUAAGUUGGGAGGAAGGGCAGUAAGUUAAUACCUUGCUGUUUUGACGUUACCAACAGAAUAAGCACCGGCUAACUUCGUG